AUGCAAGCAUGUUCCUUAUUACUUGGUAGACCAUGGCAAUUUUAUAAAAAUUCUGUACACCAUGGUAGAAACAAUCACUAUACUCUUGUUCAUAAGGAUAAAAAUAUUACUUUGCUUCCUAUGACUCCUGAUUCCAUUUUGAAAGAUGAUAUUAAUAGAGCUAAUAAAGCAAAACAGGAGAAGAAUAAGAGUGAAAAUCAGAUUGUGGCAAAAGAAUUUGAGCAACAAAUGAAGCCUAAUAAUAAACCAUCUAGUGUUGCUUCUGAAAUUAAAUUGAAAAGUGCAUGUUUAUUUGCCACCAAAUCUGAUAUUGAUGAGCUAGAUUUCAGCAAAUCUAUUUGCUAUGCUUUUGUGUGCAAAGAGGCAUUAUUUUCAUUCGAGGACGUGCCUUCCUCUUUGCCUCCUGCUGUCACUAACAUUUUGCAGGAGUUCGCUGACGUUUUUCCACAAGACGUGCCACCGGGAUUACCGCCUAUUCGAGGGAUUGAGCAUCAGAUUGACUUAAUUCCCGGCGCUUCACUGCCAAACCGUGCACCAUACCGUACCAAUCCAGAGGAGACGAAGGAGAUUAUGCGUCAAGUACAAGAGCUUCUCGACAAAGGUUAUAUACGCGAAUCCCUUAGUCCUUGUGCUGUUCCUAUUAUUCUAGUGCAGAAAAAGGAUGGUACAUCGCGUAUGUGUGUUGAUUGUAGAGGCAUUAAUAAUAUUACUAUUCGUUAUCGUCAUCCUAUUCCUAGGCUAGAUGAUAUGCUUGAUGAAUUGAGUGGCUCUACAAUAUUCUCCAAAGUUGAUUUGCGUAGUAGAUACCAUCAAAGUCGUAUGAAAUUGGGGGAUGAAUGGAAAACAGCAUUUAAAACUAAGUUUGGAUUAUAUGAGUGGUUAGUCAUGCCUUUUGGGUUAACUAAUGCGCCUAGUACUUUCAUGAGACUAAUGAACGAAGUUUUACGUGCUUUCAUUGGACGAUUUGUGGUAGUCUAUUUUGAUGAUAUACUGAUUUAUAGCAGAUCUUUGGAAGAACAUUUGGAACAUUUACGUGCUGUUUUUAUUGCUCUACGUGAUGCACGUUUGUUUGGUAACCUUGGGAAGUGCACCUUUUGCACCGACCGAGUAUCUUUUCUUGGCUAUGUUGUUACUCCAUAG
rnacentral:rRNA from 1 species